AGUGACAUUAUCCAAACAGUGUGUUUUCAAAGAUGAGAGUAAUUACUUGCUGUUGUAGAUGAGUGCAUGAAAUGUUUAAAAAAUGUAUUCAAAUCUGAAUAUCCAAGCUGAAAUUGGAAAUGUCUUCAAGAGUUCGCGAAUUCAGCAUGACUUGAGUGCGGUUGUGUUUUCCGGAAGAUCUGGCAAAAGAUUCGCUAAAACAUAACUUAAUAAAGACCGAAGCUUCGAAAAUCAGGCAGUGCUGAAAACGCAUUUUGGCAAUGGCGGUUCAAAAUUCUACUACAUAUAUUUCCGAGAAUUCAUUUUGGAGUUUUGUAUAAAAUCGGCUGACGAAAUCUAUGCAGAUGGUAAUAAUUAUGGAAGAGGGUUACUGACUUUGUAACAAAAUAAACAAAUGUAACAAUAGAAUAAUUUUUUUUUUCAUAAAACUAUGUACAAAAAAAUAUUAAAAGAACAAGAUUUUUUUUCUCUCUUCUGAUCAGCAUAUGUCAAUUGCAGAGUCAAGAAACUGCAGGUUCACGAAUGGAGUGACAACCGGUGCCAUCAACUGAAUGAUUUGCACAUCAACAGAAUCGUGGAACAGACAGCCACGCCAAUCAAAAACAAAAUUAUAGAACAGAAGAUUAGACGAAAUCAGAGUGGUCGUAACUUACCUGGGGAUAUGGGCUGUUCGUACUGCCUUUCUUGCCCUGAAAAGCAAAAAGAAGACAAUAAUAAGAAUCUUUAAUAACAAUAAAGACGCUUCAUAAUGAUUUCAUGGCCUGCCAAUUUUUUUUCUUCUUCUUUUUAUGAUUCUGUCAAUGACGGAAAUUAGGUAGGAUAAUUUCAGAAUUAGCCGAUGGUAGAAAAGCAAAGAUAAAGAUUAUUAAGCUUCUUUUAUUUGUUAAUAAUAAAGGC